AACUAUCAAGGGCAUCAAAACAAGGUAAUUUCUUGAAUUAAAUAUUAGCAUGAAUUGUUGCUGGAAAUGGAAGUGCAGGCCACACCACAAGCAAUGGAACUGAUCUAGCCACACAUUUACAAUCAGGGAAGAAAUGAAACUCAGACGUAGGAACAUAUAAAACAGAUAUUAAUAACACCCGAGUCUGACCUGAUCGGCCUUUACACCGCCACUAGCCGCUGCGCCCCCUGACGGUGGCACAGAGGCAC